UACGGGAGGCAGCAGUGGGGAAUAUUGGACAAUGGGCGCAAGCCUGAUCCAGCCAUGCCGCGUGUGUGAAGAAGGCCUUCGGGUUGUAAAGCACUUUUGUCCGGAAAGAAAAGCUUAGGGUUAAUAACCUUGAGUCAUGACGGUACCGGAAGAAUAAGCACCGGCUAACUUCGUGCCAGCAGCCGCGGUAAUACGAAGGGUGCAAGCGUUACUCGGAAUUACUGGGCGUAAAGCGUGCGUAGGUGGUUUGUUAAGUCUGAUGUGAAAGCCCUGGGCUCAACCUGGGAAUGGCAUUGGAAACUGGCUUACUAGAGUGCGGUAGAGGGGUGUGGAAUUCCCGGUGUAGCAGUGAAAUGCGUAGAUAUCGGGAGGAACAUCUGUGGCGAAGGCGACACCCUGGGACCAGCACUGACACUGAGGCACGAAAGCGUGGGGAGCAAACAGGAUUAGAUACC
rnacentral:rRNA from 1 species